GCUACCAUAACAUCGCUAACAUCUCAAAAAUUCAAACGGUACAGCAACAAAGUUCCACUUACCAAGCCGAUUAAAGAACUCGACAAUUUCAAAAGUACGAUUGAACGACAGAUUUACAAACAGAAUUAAAGAAGAAGAAGAACGAAACAAAAGAUUUACCAAUGGAGGGAAAAACGUCAAAAACCACAAAAAAUUAAAGAAAAUGUCAGAGGGAAAUUUGGGGGAAGAGAGAGAAGAACUUUGAAAAAAAAAUAAAUUAAAAAUAAAUUAAAAAUAAUAUAAUCAAAAUAAACCCCUCCCACAAUAUCACAACUUCCCAUUAACAACUCAACC
rnacentral:lncRNA from 1 species